GGGAAAUGUAAAUAAAUACUGUCUAUAUUAAGAAGUAGUUACUCUGUGGAGUAAGAAAGAGCAUAAUUAAAAUACUAGCAGCAUUUUACAUAACUCAGAAAAUGUAUAUGUGGGGAAAGUGUCCGGGAGCACUUAGAAGUUAGUGUGAGUGCUCCAAGAUCCGGAUACUCUUUAGGGUGGAAGUUAAGAUAAUGAAUGACUUUCGACUUUGUUAAUCUAAGUACUUAACAGGAAAUUUUCAGAUAACCAUUAAAGAAUAGCAAUACAAUAUAACUUUCAAGCCAGUAGAGAGAAAACAUUUCGAAAUAAGGGAAAAACAUUUUAGAAAUGCCAACUCCGAUAGACCACAAAAAUGCAAGAAAGGAAGAAAAAGCAUAGAAAAAGCAAAGAAAUGGCAUAGUAUAUAAUAAAUGGUUACAAUAAAUAUAAAUCGCCUAUCUCACCAGAUUAAUAAAAAAAAGUCUACCUUAUUCAAUAUAUACAGUUUACAAAAGCCAGUGCAAGGACAGAGAAAGACAAAAAGUAGAAUUAGGGAAAGUAAAACAAGCAAAUAUACCUGGUUAGGAUAGCUAUAUCAAUAUUAGCCUUACAAAUAUUAAAGUGAAAAGCAUUAAUAGGGAUAAGGAGACUCUCAAAAAUAAUAGAAAUUUCAACUGAAGUAGGUAUAACAGUUCUAAACAAAGUUAUUAAAGUAAAAAAAUGUAUAGAGCAAAAUGGAACUAUUAUAUUGUAUUUGAAGUCACUCAGUUUUUAGCUAAAGCAACAAAAAAUAAAUAGAACAACAUGGUAACCAAAGUUGAUUCAAUUAAUACCUAAAGGAUCAUGUUCCCCCAAAUUAGAGCAUGCACAUUUUCCUUAAGCAUGUAUAAAAGAUUUAGAAGGAAAAUGAUAAAGGAAUGUUUUGAGGACUUCUGAUAGGGAAAUAUUUCUUAGAAAAUCUGCAAAAGAUAUUAACCAUAAUCUACAUAAAGCCAACUGUUUUAUUUAAAACCUUUCUGGAAAUAGUUUUGUUGACUGAUAAACACUCUAGGUCAGUCAGCUAAUCAAUGUCUAGUGAGUCCUAACACUCUUUCCACUGCACAGUAAGUUGCAUCUUAGGUUUUUAACUUAAAAACAAAAGCCUGGUAUCAAAUGUUAUACCCAAAAACUUAUCAGUAUCUUUUUAACCAAUGUAAAGAUUUUCUUUAAAUCUUAGGAGUUGUGGAAUUAUUUCUAACACACUGGUUAUAUGUAUUAGUUUUCCACUGAGCCAUCAUAAAAACAGAAGUCACAUCGUCACUAUUUCUUGCUUGUCUAACCCAGCAUCUGUGGUACCCUCGGCAGUUACUCAUGGCUCCUAGGCCUUCCUUUAGAGUAUUAUCUCUUCUAUUGGCUUUGGAUGGAAUUGACUCCAUCCUAAUGCAGAAACGAUAGGCACUGCUUUCUAUAAAUCGGUCAGCCUAAUAACAUUCCUUUUGCCUCAGAGAUUGGUUCAGAGAUGGGGAAAAACCCAGUCUAAGCAAUCAUCUUGCGACUUACUUUCCUCCAAUUGGUGAUCCAGUUAGGGCAACAUGUGGAAUGUGCUGCUCUGUAUGUGAAGCCAGAUGCUCACAUUCAUAAAAAACAUUUUAAUACUGUGACGGAAGAUACAGCUUCGAGACAAAGACACGAGCUUGGGCAGAGUCAUUCAUUCAUUCAGUAAGCAUUUGCUGAGUGCUUAAUAAAUGCUAGACCCUGAGAAAAAGCAAAAUCUUAUUCAGCAUAUUCUGACACUGGGGACAAUGGAAUAGUUGAUAGCUUCCACACUUAAUUAGAAACAAAGAUUAUCUCUUAAAACCUCAUUCUUGUAUCUAGGAAGACUUUUGUUUUCCCAAUCAGAAAUUGUAGUUCCAGAAAAAGAACAAGACAAUGAAAACAUUGUAUAAAAGGUUUCUUUCAAACUUUUUUCAAUUGACAGUUUUUCACCCCAAUCAUCUUGAUGCAGAGAGGCUUCAGAAACACAAGUGACUCUGUGUUCAGACCAAGUACUUGGCCUCGAGAAGAUGAAUGAUCAGACCAACUCACCAUAUGAUUAUAAGGGUCAGGUAGUUUAAAAAGAAAUUACAAUCUGAAUUGAACCAUGGAUGAACAGUGUUUCUAUUGAGCUUCAAAUCCCAGCUAAUAAGCAUAACCUUGUAAAGAGAGGUUACUGUUUGGGAAACUGCAUGUUCUUGCAGGAGGGCAAAGCUUUUGCAAUAUAAAUAGUUGUAAGGGUAGUAGCUUUCAUCUUUAAUACCUUAACCCUCUGUGUUUAGAGUUUUUGUAUCCAGGGCUGAAUUGAGAAUUUUAGAAACCUUGAACACUGAAGAGAUUGUAAUAAUCCCAUGUGUAAUUUAUAAAAUCUUCAAAAGAAAAUUUACUUUUUAAAAAUGUUAUAAAACUCAUGAAUACUGAAAUGAAAAUGGCUUCAUUUUUAUAUUUUAUUUCAAGAUGCUACAUAAAUUCAUGAAAGUUAAA
ensembl:lncRNA